rnacentral:lncRNA from 1 species
AAAUGAAAUUUUUUUUUAUUCCAAGAAGGUAGAAAGAAGAGAGGAUAUAGAUCUAGAGGGAAAGAUUUUUUUUAGUCUUCCCAUUGAUAGAAACCUUAGAUGGAAGAAAAUAGGAGAAAAGAGAAGAAAAAUACUUCUAAAAUUUUUUCAGAUUAGCAAUAGUCCACAAAAGCUGGUCACAUGUAUCAUGUGUGUCAUGGCCCUGAUCCCAAAUCAUGAGUUAAGAGUCAUGGUAACUAUCGCAUACUCAUGAAGAACUCUCUCCAUAAAUAUGCAAAGCAUCUUAUUACGUAUUGCGAAAGAAUUUUGUC